GAGUGGCUGCCGAAAUUAAGAGAGAAAGCAAGAGAGGAGUGCACGAAAAAAAGAGGAAAAAAGAGAAAAAGAAAGAGAGAAAGAAGGAGAAGAGGAAGGGGUUUAAAAAAUCUCUAGGUGCCUAAGGAUUGAUUUGCUUUGUGUUCUUGAACACUACCAAUGAGGGUGCUUGAUGAUUUAGUGCAAACACAGGGGUUGAACCACAUGUACACUUUCAUGCAUCUAGCUUUAGUGUCCACUGAUGGAGGAACGAAUGAAGCACGAGCUAAAAAUCUCUUCGAACGAUUUCUACUGAUGGAGCUAGAGACACAAUUUCUAAUUUGUCCUUGGAAAAAAAGUAAGUCAACUUAAUUUUAUUUACAUAUAUUUUGUUUAUUGAUAAAUAUCUUACACAAAAGUUUUUUUUUGUAGCUUUUACUAGAUGUUAGUAUUGAUUCAGCUACACAGUCAUUCGGUGGAUUUUUUGGAUCCUGUAAAUUCAUAUUUUCGUCCGGAAAUCAAGGAGAUAAUUAUCAUGGCAUUAGAUCAAUACGAUACACACCGAAGACAAAAAGAGUCUAUUAAACUAAAAGUUUGUGUUCAUAAAUGUUGAAACCAAACUGGGCCCACCAAGUGUGGCUAUUACAUUAUGAAGUUUGCUAGAGAAUUGAUUUCACAGCCUAGACCGAAGACCUACUUGAAAAAUGAGGUUAAAAUUACAAGUUUGCCCGUAGGCCAACUACCAGUACAGACACUCAAAACAAAGACUCCAACUUCUUUCAGUUACAACAGACUCUAACAAAAACAAGAAAGGCCUAACUAACUACAGCUCAGCAACCUAGACUACUUCUACAUCAUAUAUAAACUAGAUCGAGUUGGAAGAGAACUACCUGAAGCUUUAGUUAUCCCCUGUGAGCUGAGCUAGAGAGAGAGUGGUAGAGAGAGAAGCUCUGAGGAGCUCAAUUGUAAUCGCAUGCAAAAGAAAGAACAAAAAGGGAGUUAGUAAGAGAAAAAAAAGAAAAAGAAAACAGAGAGAAAUAAAGAACAGAUUAUCAAUCAAAGUGUGUGAUUCAAAAUCUGUUGCAAACUUUUGGAAUACCU